UCUCCGUAGGUGAACCUGCGGAGGGAUCAUUACUGUGACAUCGACCCCGGUCGACGGGGGGGUGACGCGAAGCCUUCGGGUGGAGCUGAACCCCCUUCAUCACACAACCCUUUGUUAAACGUACCCGUUGCCUCGGGGGCUUCACCGCCCCCGAUGGACACAAUCUAAACACUGCAUCCUUGCGUCAGAGUAUUGAAUUAAAUCAAUUAAAACUUUCAACAACGGAUCUCUUGGUUCUGGCAUCGAUGAAGAACGCAGC
rnacentral:misc_RNA from 1 species